UUGCUGUCGCCGGUCUCCGGUGUAUCUCGCCUUGCUGGUUCCCUCACCAAUCGGUAAUCACCAACCGAACCAACAACCAAUCUGCCGUAACCAGCAAGUUGCCGAGAUUUGUCAAAGAAACUAGAAUCAGUGAUUAAAUCAAGUAUGAAGAGAUACUUCAAACCAAUAGUACCAUUACAAAUAUCCCAGUCUGAGAAAGGAGAAGAUAACUCUUCGUCAUAAAAAAAAAGCCGUGUAGAAAUUAAUGUAGCUGACAUUCAUUCUGGUCCUCCUCAAUAGAAUGAGUGAUCAAUGGUUGAAUGACAGUUUAGUGGUCUAUGUAGAUAGAGAUUUUUUUUGGAGUUACGAAUGAGACCAUCAUGCAACACUUUCAAAACAUGAAAA